AACACAUGCAAGUCGAACGCGAAAGUCCCGCAAGGGAUUAGUAGAGUGGCAAACGGGUGAGUAACACGUGGGUGACCUGCCUUCGAGUGGGGGAUAACGUCCCGAAAGGGACGCUAAUACCGCAUAACAUCCUGCUUUUUAAGAGGUGGAGAUCAAAGCCGGGGAUCGCAAGACCUGGCGCUUGAAGAGGGGCCCGCGUCCGAUUAGCUAGUUGGUGGGGUAAUGGCUCACCAAGGCAUCGAUCGGUAUCCGGCCUGAGAGGGCGGACGGACACACUGGGACUGAGACACGGCCCAGACUCCUACGGGAGGCAGCAGUGGGGAAUUGUUCGCAAUGGGCGCAAGCCUGACGACGCAACGCCGCGUGGAGGAUGAAGACCUUCGGGUCGUAAACUCCUUUCGAUCGAGACGAAUGGCCUCUGGGUAAAUACCCUGGAGGAGUGACGGUACCGAGAGAAGAAGCCCC
rnacentral:rRNA from 1 species